GAAGCAGCCAUCUUUUAAAGAAAGCGUAAUAGCUCACUAGUCGAGUCGGCCUGCGUGGAAGAUAUAACGGGGCUAAAUCAUAAACCGAAGCUACAGAUCUUAAAUUUAUUUAAGAUGGUAGAAGAGCGUUCUGUAAGCGGAUGAAGGUGAGCUGAGAGGCGAGCUGGACGUAUCAGAAGUGCGAAUGUUGACAUGAGUAACGAUCAAAGAGGUGAAAAACCUCUUCGCCGAAAAACCAAGGGUUCCUGUCCAACGCUAAUCGUGGCAGGGUGAGGCGGCCCCUAAGGCGAGGGCGAAAGCCGUAGUCGAUGGGAAACAGGUUAAUAUUCCUGUACUUUUUAUAACUGCGAUGGGGUGACGGAGAAGGUUAGGCUAGCACGGCGACGGUUGUCCGUGUUCAAGGUUGUAGGCUGGUGUUCUAGGUAAAUCCGGAACGCCAUAUAGGCUGAGGACUGAUAACGACCACUCUACGAGUGGGAAGUAGCUGAUACCAUGCUUCCAGGAAAAACCUCUAAGCUUCAGGUUAUAAGAAACCGUACCCUAAACCGACACAGGUGGUUAGGUCGAGUAGACCAAGGUGUUUGAGAGAACUAUGGUGAAGGAACUAGGCAAAAUAGCACCGUAACUUCGGGAGAAGGUGCGCUACGUUUGGUGAUGGGACUUGCUCCUUGAGCUAAACGUAGUCGAAGAUACCAGGUGGCUGCGACUGUUUACUAAAAACAUAGCACUCUGCAAACUCGUAAGAGGAAGUAUAGGGUGUGACGCCUGCCCGGUGCCGGAAGGUUAAUUGAUGGGGUUAGCGUAAGCGAAGCUCUUGAUCGAAGCCCCGGUAAACGGCGGCCGUAACUAUAACGGUCCUAAGGUAGCGAAAUUCCUUGUCGGGUAAGUUCCGACCUGCACGAAUGGCGUAACGAUGGCCACACUGUCUCCACCAUAGACUCAGUGAAAUUGAAAUCGCUGUUAAGAUGCAGUGUACCCGCAGCUAGACGGAAAGACCCCGUGCACCUUUACUAUAGGUUUACACUGGACUUUGACCUUACUUGUGUAGGAUAGGUGGGAGACUUUGAAGCUGAGACGCCAGUCUUAGUGGAGUCAUCCUUGAAAUACCACCCUUGUAAGAUUGAAGUUCUAACCUAGGUCCAUUAUCUGGAUCAGGGACAGUGUAUGCUGGGUAGUUUGACUGGGGCGGUCUCCUCCUAAAGAGUAACGGAGGAGUACGAAGGUAUCCUUAUCACGGUCGGACAUCGUGAGGUAAGUAUAAAGGCAAAAGGAUGCUUGACUGCGAGAUCGACGGAUCGAGCAGGUAGGAAACUAGGUCUUAGUGAUCCGGUGGUUCUGAAUGGAAGGGCCAUCGCUCAACGGAUAAAAGGUACGCCGGGGAUAACAGGCUGAUACCGCCCAAGAGUUCAUAUCGACGGCGGUGUUUGGCACCUCGAUGUCGGCUCAUCACAUCCUGGGGCUGGAGCAGGUCCCAAGGGUAUGGCUGUUCGCCAUUUAAAGUGGUACGCGAGCUGGGUUUAGAACGUCGUGAGACAGUUCGGUCCCUAUCUGCUGUGGGCGUUUGGAGAUUUGAGGGAAGCUGAUUCUAGUACGAGAGGACCGAAUUGGACGAACCUCUGGUGUUCCGGUUGUCACGCCAGUGGCAUUGCCGGGUAGCUAUGUUCGGAAAGGAUAACCGCUGAAAGCAUAUAAGCGGGAAGCCUCUCCCAAGAUUAAAUCUCCCAGAGACUUUAUGUCUCCUAAAGAGUCGUCAUAGACUAUGACGUUGAUAGGCAAGAUGUGUAAGCGCUGCGAGGCGUUGAGCUAACUUGUACUAAUAACUCGUGAGGCUUGAUCAU
rnacentral:rRNA from 1 species